UACUUCUGGGGAUUUUCCAUAUUGGUGGAAGAAAGUGUUUGGGAUACCUAAGUAAAUCCACUAAGGGAACGUCGACUCCUAAUCCUACAAAUCCUUCUAGAAGAUGAAAUGGAAAGGUGACUGCUCCAGAUCUGGCUGAUUGGUCUUCACAUCUUUUAUGGUUUCUGUCAACUCUGAGAUUCAGCGAUUGGCUUAUUGAUGGCUCAAAGAAACACUUGGUGGAAUAGAAGUCUCCCACCAUCUCUCCCGUACUGCAGAAGCAUGUGCUGCAGCAGGCCUGUGACAGAGGAACCAUGACACAAAAUGUAAAGCACUUCGACACCCUGCCCCCUCGACUGCUGUGUGAAUGAUAAACAUCCAAUAAAAACCAGAGCACAAAAA